GGAUGGAUAAUAAUUUACCACAAUAACAAAAACAAGAAUUUCACUUACAGCUCGGUGAAGGUGCGCAGCGCUGAAAACAGUGACGACAGCAUUGUGUUUUCCCGUGUUGGUGGCCUGAAAGACAUUUACAUUGUUUGGUUAUUGAAUUACAGAUUCAAAUAACUCAAAUAAAUUGUGUCUUUUUGACAGAAACAUGGAAUAGAAGAGGCUAAACUGUGACCAAGAGUCAAAAAAGCCAAAAAUGCUAAAGUUCUCCUGCUUCAAGACAUGCAAAUAACAAUCACCCAAUGAGGGUAGAUAAGGUGUCUGGGCUACCAAAAGAACAGAAGCAAACACAUGGCGAGGGGAUAGCAACAGGAAAUCACCCUUGCAGAUGCAAGAAAAUUUGAAAAUCAUCUGGGGACGAGACUCCAUGUGACCAUGUCUUCAACGAGAUGAGAUAUACUGGUCGUGUCAGCGAUGCCAGAUGACUUUGGAUGAAAGGCUGACUACACCCUCGACUGGUCGCCAGUCAGUCACGAGGCAUGCAACCAUUCACACUCCAUACCACUGAUGUCAACCAAGACAGCCCCACAACAUCCAGAGUCUUUGGGAACUCCGGGCAGAUCUUUUGCACAGAGGAGCUUUUCAACCACCUCCGUGACUUCAAUCCCAGAGACAGCAGAGGCCCCUCAACAAGCACACAUCGUUUACUGUUGCGCAACAAAAGGAGAGACAGUCAACUAAUUGAGUUGGACCAAUGUUGUUAUCUGCCAAAGCAAAGUCACCUUCACAACAAUAUCUGUGCCCACCAAAAAUCUUUUGGAAUGACCACUGAGUUCUACAUAAUCUACUGUACCUGUUACCCCAGCACUAAGCAAGUCAUCAUGAUGAUGUCAUCAACAAAUCAUCAACAGCAUUCACUAAACUAAACUGCUUAGCAUGAUGCAGACACACAAAAAUAUUUAGGCUAUAACAGAGGGUUAUUAAAAGAACUGCAAAGGCACUCACCAAACGUCACAGGUUGCAAUUUGACCAUUUGUAGAGUCAGAUUCAAACCGCUUCAUGUAAAUUGUUCCUGGUGCUGCUGACUUGCUGCUUGGGUUGCAUUUCAUUGUGUGUUUGUGUACGUUUGUGUGUACGUCUUGGUGUGCCUAAUCCCUACUGAGUAGAGUUGGUGCUAAGCAGCAACAGCUCACUAGAGAGUAAGUCACAUUCAACUGUGAUGUGUGUCACAGCAUUGUUUUCUUGACGGUGGUCAUUUUGAGGUCCAGUAGAGCAGCUAAGAUCUGUUGAGUUUUGAAGUAUCAUUUGUAGACAUUUUAUAGCAUUUGCCGUCAUGGUUUGCUGGUGGCGGCGUAUUUAUUUACAAUGGUUUUACAAUACUCCAAAGUCUAUUUACCUGAUUAUUUUCUAACAUGAAGGACAACCCCUGAAGGACAUCCCCUCAACA